UUAUCUCUGUUGAAUCGAAAUCUUAAGUUUAUACUUGGGACAUUUAUGUAGAGAGAUAUGGGGAUAA
rnacentral:ncRNA from 1 species